UACGGAGGGGGCUAGCGUUGUUCGGAAUUACUGGGCGUAAAGCGCGCGUAGGCGGCUCUUCAAGUCAGGCGUGAAAGCCCCGAGCUUAACUCGGGAACUGCGCUUGAUACUGUCGAGCUAGAGUGUGGAAGGGGCGAUUGGAAUUCCGUGUGUAGCGGUGAAAUGCGUAGAUAUACGGAGGAACACCAGAGGCGAAGGCGGAUCGCUGGGCCAACACUGACGCUGAUGUGCGAAAGCUAGGGGAGCAAAACGGG
rnacentral:rRNA from 1 species